ACCCUUAGUUAUGAUCAUAUGUUAACCAUGAAGUGUCCUCAUUGUUUAACAUAUUGCUUGGGUCUUUGUUCACUUUGAAUGACGGAAUUUGGUCAUCCCUUUCAUAAUCACCUAACAUGUCUGACUUGUCCCCAAUUCUGACAAUGUUUCUUUUUCCGGGAAGAACUAUGUGACGCUUUGGCUCAUGAUUUACUUUCGUGUUGUCAUCAUUUUUCCCUUUCUUUGGUUUUGUAGAGAUGUCUUCCACUAAGAACACCUGACU
rnacentral:lncRNA from 1 species